rnacentral:tRNA from 1 species
GGUAAGAUGGCCGAGAGUAGGCAGCGAGCUGUAGACUCGCGCACAGGGGUUCAAGUCCACUUCUUAUCA